rnacentral:misc_RNA from 1 species
GCCUCCUCGUCUCCCACUUCCCCCUCCGUACAGCCUCCGGCGGCUGCUCCUUCACCGGAAAUCCUAGCAUCUACUCCUCCCCCUCCUCCGACGCCGAAGGUCGCUCCAGUUGUUUCUACACACCCGGCAGCCGAGGGCGGGCGGAUAAUUGCCACGCCCUACGCCAAGAAGCUCGCCAAGGACCUCAAGGUGGAGCUAGCGACGGUGGCCGGGACCGGCCCCAUGGGCCGGAUCGUGGCCAAGGACGUCGAGGCUGCCGCUGCCGCCCCCGCCUCGGCUCCGCCCAAGCCGGCUCCGG